rnacentral:rRNA from 1 species
CAGCAGCCGCGGGAAUACGAAGGGGGCUAGCGUUGCUCGGAAUGACUGGGCGUAAAGGGCGCGUAGGCGGAUGGCACAGUCAGAUGUGAAAUUCCCGGGCUUAACCUGGGGGCUGCAUUUGAUACGUGUUGUCUAGAGUGAGGAAGAGGGUUGUGGAAUUCCCAGUAUAGAGGUGAAAUUCGUAGAUAUUGGGAAGAACACCGGUGGCGAGGGCGGCAACCUGGUCCUUGACUGACGCUGAGGCGCGAAAGCGUGGGGAGCAAACAGGAUUAGAUACCCCGGUAGUCCCUGUCUCUUAUGC